rnacentral:rRNA from 1 species
CCUACGGGUGGCUGCAGUGAGGAAUAUUGGUCAAUGGACGAGAGUCUGAACCAGCCAAGUCGCGUGAAGGAUGACGGCCCUAUGGGUUGUAAACUUCUUUUAUAUGGGGGUAAAAUGUUCCACGUGUGGGGUUUUGUAUGUACGGUAUGAAUAAGGAUCGGCUAACUCCAUGCCAGCAGCCGCGGUAAUACGGAGGAUCCGAGCGUUAUCCGGAUUUAUUGGGUUUAAAGGGAGCGUAGGUGGAUUUGUAAGUCAGUUGUGAAAGUUUGCGGCUCAACCGAGAGACUGCCGUUGAAACUGGAGGACUUGAGUACAGUAGAGGCGGGCGGAAUGCGUAGUGUAGCGGUGAAAUGCAUAGAUAUCACGCAGAACUCCGAUUGCGAAGGCAGCUUACUGGACCGCAACUGACACUGAUGCUCGAAAGUGUGGGGAUCAAACAGGAUUAGAUACCCUAGUAGUC